CAAAAUACUGGUAGUGGACACAGUCAAUCAGUUAAUGAAUCUGGUCACGGAUUAAAACGCCUUUGACAUUUAUCAACAUAUCGCUGUAUAACGUGAUAGAAUAAUUUUAUCAAACGAUAUCAGUUUUAUUUAUUAACUAUGUUUGCUGGCAUAAUGGAAUAUGCUCUUGUUUACUUUAAUUUAUGACUCGUGAGUCGUGACUGAAGAAAACAUGACAACGUAACCGUUUGAAACCGGAAUUUGAACUGCAUAAAUAGGACAAAUCUGCCCGGUUCUCCUCCUGGACCCCGUCUCGCACACAAACACUUGGAUCAUGUCCUGUAAUACAGUGAUGCCGUUAUAAAUGGAAACAGAUGCCUCUACCCCUGAGGGGGAUCUCAGGGGCCCACGGCUCUCCGCUCUUGGGAACUACUGUGGGGGAUUGGCCCCCCGCCUCACCCACCAACAACGCUCACCCGAACAGAACACUGUGUGUAGGGCAGAGGCAAGCGGGACGACCUCAGGGCCUCCUAAUAAGCAACAGCAGCCAUGGAGUCGGACAUCUAAAGAGAUCCAGCAACAAUGAUUGUGCAAUGAUAUGGAAAUGACAGCAAAACCUGAGCUCGGUUACCAAACGGCAGCGCUGUGAGGGGAAGCCGUGUCCAAACUCAUUAGGGUUUCUGUAUGUGUCUCUCUUCCCUUUUGCAAGCAUUCCCACUUCUGAUCAGACUGAUUUUUUUUAAUACUUGUGCAUGCGGUGGUUGGAACCUGGCAGGCUUAGUAUAUGUGUUGUGCAACUGGACAGUGAAAAUACCCAAACCCGACUGGGCCCCUUAUCAUGUACAGCACACAAAUUAGGCAAAGCAGCAUCCAUCUGCCACACAAAUAGAGCUCCAACCCGAACCGGCGCUCUGCCAUUGUUCUGGCCGUUCGCCGCCCCUCCCGGAGUAAUUCAUGUGCCCCGCUACUCUGCUCACCCGUCACUGGCUAUUCACUUAAACCUGAAACAUUUCCAUGGGCACAAAGGCUUCAAACAUGGCUGUGACAAAGGAAAGGAUUUCUGCGUUUCUAUUCUUUUCCUCCUCUCUGUAUUUCUCCUUUCUUCAAGACAUUGUGUUGUUUAAUUGGUUGUGCUUGGUAAUUUUGUCUCUUGUCUUCUCCCAUACUGAGUGAUUGUGCGGGGACGGACGUUUGCUUUGACUGGAUCGGACAGUAGUGGGCUCCCUCCCGUAUGCUGGGAGCCAUCUACCUUUGUUAGGUACGCGGAGUUCGGUUCGGGCUCUGUGUGUGGUAAGGUUUGGGAAUCCUGCACGGAUGUCGUGGGAAUGCAGAGGAAACGUCCCUCCUCAUGCCGCUGAAUGAUCGAGAUGACCCCUCUGUGACGUGCUCAAUGAAUUCAUAUCUCCGGUCUUGCUGGUGAUUAAUGAUUCCUGGCGCUUUCAUGCCGAAUCUAUUGAAAAGCCCAGCAGUGAGCCUGUACUGUACAUUUUCUUUGUUGCAGAGACCGUGUGUGUCCUAACAUGUUUUUAAAUGAACUCUAUACUUUGGUGCUGGGCUGCUGGCUGAAAGAACAUCAAGGUUAACAGUCCAUGGAGAGAGUGGAGAGGACGAAGGAGUGUAAGGAAGAAUGAUGGUGGCUUUGUCUGUACAAAAGAGAAGGUGUGUGUAUGUGUGCUCCAGUGCAUGUGUGUACAUUUGAGACAGAGAGAGUGAAAAAAAAAAAAAAAAAAAAGUAGGUUCAUUGGGUUUAUUACCUGGAGUCAGACAUAAGCUCAUCUCAGCCAAUCCUGCAGCGCCUCUUUAUUGUACAGCUCUAUGGUUGUGUAAUAAAUUUUUUUAGCCAGAGCUGGGAUUCUUUGUUCACUGCACCUGCCUGGGAUUCUGCAGGCUUUGUUCUACACAUUCAGUAUAUGUCUUACAACCUAUAUAACCCCAGUUUUACAUCUUUAUUUUCUUAAGAUGUCAAUUUUGUAAUUUAUUUAUAAUAUUUUUUAUAAUACAGAAACAUUUUUGAUUAUUUGAAUAUCUGUUUGUGGGUUGCCUGCACCCAUUAUUAUUGUUUUUAUUAUUUAUUUUUAUUUAAUUGUGUUAUUUUGUUUGCGAUAGAAAAGAUAAACUGCAGAGAUAAACUGCAAUAAAUCAUCUGAAAUUCAUGUAAUUAUGUGGGACGUUGUAAAUUGAAUCUUUGGCAG
ensembl:lncRNA